AAUAUUGGACAAUGGGCGCAAGCCUGAUCCAGCCAUGCCGCGUGAGUGAUGAAGGCCUUAGGGUUGUAAAGCUCUUUCACCGGGGAAGAUAAUGACGGUAGCCGGAGAAGAAGCCCCGGCUAACUUCGUUCCAGCAGCCGCGGUAAUCCGAAGGGGGCUAGCGUUGUUCGGAAUUACUGGGCGUAAAGCGAAAGUAGGCGGAUUGGUCAGUUAGGGGUGAAAUCCCAGGGCUCAACCCUGGAACUGCAUUUAAUACUGCCAGUCUGGAGUUCGAGAGAGGUGAGUGGAAUUCCGAGUGUAGAGGUGAAAUUCGUAGAUAUUCGGAGGAACACCAGUGGCGAAGGCGGCUCACUGGACCAAAACUGACGCUGAGGUGCGAAAGCGUGGGGAGCAAACAGG
rnacentral:rRNA from 1 species